UCUUCCUGUGCUGUGGAACC
rnacentral:piRNA from 1 species